CAGUUAACACCCGUGUAAAUAGAGUGCACUAGGUCUGAUCUGGGUUUUCCCUUGUGGACUUGGCUCUCCAACACAACACAAAACAAGAAGGUAAAUUUGUCCACGUUGGAAAUCUGUACUCCGUCUGAGGUAGGUGGCCGGGGGCACCAGCAGAGGCCAGCUGUGCUGUGGAGCACUGGUGUUCUCAUAAGGGAGGUGUGAAUCUGGGCUGGAGCCUUUGUUCUCCCCCAUCUCCUACCCACUGCCCUGCUCCAGUGUUGGAGCUGACUUUAUUUCAAUGUCCUUUUCCACAUGUAUCCUGUCUGAUGCUUGGCACUGUGUCAACAGGCAAAUCGCAUCUGUUGUGUCAGAGCAACACCGGGACCCUGCGAGUCACCUUGCAUCAUUAUUAACUGCCACGUCCCGUUAGACAGAGCUGGUGUCAGAAGAGGAUACAUGUGGGUUUCACAGCCAGUUCUCUCUAAUGCAUGGUUGGGUUUAAAGACACAGACAGCUGAAUGGGCUGUCUUGGUUUGGGGUUUCCUUUUAUGGUCUCCCACAGCAGCCAUUCAGGGUCCCUCCACUGGGUAACCCUCCAACUCAUCUGAAAUCCUCCUAUGCUUUACUUUUGACUCUGUAAAAUCUGCGGAAAUAGGCCCACUCUGAAUCAGCCUCUGAGAACAGGGCUCAUCCUGGUGGGUAAAGCUAGCAAAAGCUGAGUUUGUUGUAAUGGAGGAAAUAGCACCAGGAAAAAGGCCGGAGCACAAAGCAACCAACACUCAUUAGGCCCGCACUGUCCCAUGGGAGACAUACAUAAGUGGCUGGGAAGCAGCUGAAUCUGUCAGUUUGUUGGGGGUGGCUCUGAAAAGAUCUUUGGGAUACUUUCCAUGCUUCGUAAAACACAAGGCUUCAUAGGCAGGAAAUUGCCAAGAGGUCUGCUUGAUCCUCAUUCCUAAUUAUACACUGGAAGGGAGCUUUUCAACAUCAAAAAAUUCCCCCAGUGAAUGAGCAGAAGCUAUUGUAGGUCUUUCAAACAGAGCCAGAGAACAAUGGCUAACACUGAUUGAGCACUUUAACGUGCUCAGACACUGCGCUGGUGCUAACAGAAAUCCCACACCUGUUCUCAACCCAAAAUGCUAUUUCCAUCCUGGCUUUUCCAACAAGGAAACUAAGGCACGGAAAGGUUGACGGGCAGCAAAGAAGCUAGGGAAGCCAUCUUCUCAUCUGAAGUAAACACAUUUGACACUGAAACUGGUUUCAUUGAGUAUUUUCCCAGAGAUGUCCAAGGCCAGUCUUAGAGAUACUACUACGUGCUGUACUUUUUUAUUCUUCCAAUGCCUAUUGAACACUUACUGUCGGCUAAUCACUGGGCAAGGCUAUAGGAAUUUAAUUAUUAGUAAGUAAUUUCUAUUGAGUUAAAUUCUCUAUGUGCUUAAUCUCAUUGAUUGUCACAACUAUGUUAGGUAGGUACUAUCAUGAUCAUGUAAAGGAUGAUGUUUAAAAGAGGUGAAGCAUUUGUCAACUAUGUAUUACUUCUCACACUGCUGUAAUGGAGGAAGCCAGGAUUUGAGCUCAGUUUGAUCUGACCCUUUUAGGGUCAGACCAAUGCAUGAAAGACAAAGUAAAAUUACAGCAAUUGGAGGUGAUCAAUAUGUACACAACUGAUAUGGAAAAAGGAGCAGACACAGAGAAGAAAAGUUGGAAUUAUUAUUAUUUAAACAUUUCUUUCUGAAUGCCCUUACAAACAAGCUAGCGAAUCUUCUUUCCAAUAUCCCCAUUUGCUAUUCUUGCGGUCCUUACAGACCCACUGCUCUAGAAUGCAGCAUACAAACCACAGUUCAUCAGUCCAAGUGGGGCCCAGCUUGUGGUUUUCUCUUUUGCUGUCUUCCAGUGCUAAAUCAUGUAGUUAAUGAACUGAUUUGAAUGUGCUCACUUAAGCAGGUGACCCAUGGUAGAGUUAAUACACACUCCAUGGGAAUCCUGAGACCAGAGGAUUGAAUUAAGCAAUCUGCAUGUUCUGAUGAGACGGAGUUUACAGCAACAGUGAGAUGCCUGGUCCAUGACAAACAUUCGACAGAAGACAUUUCCAAAUAAUUCAUAUCGGGACCAGUUAUUCCGAAGCAAGUAAAGAAGGUUUUGACAUUUGGAUACAAAGCCAUGGGUGCACUUUGAAGUUGACCUGCCACCUUGUGGAAGUUGGAGGGAAUAAAACAUGGCUGUUGACUACUUGCUUCACUGCCCUCACACUCACGCUCAGCCAGGUUCGAAGGCCAGCUGACCUGCACCCUAAGCCUCAGCCUCCCUACCGGACAACCUUGGGCUGCCCAACCGUUUGGAGCCUACUUUCUUAUUUGUAAAAUGAUGCGCGUAACCGAGCUCUGCUGUGGAAAAUGGUACUUAAGACAAAUAAAUGAUGUAAUUCUGGGAAUGAGAUCUUAAA